CAGAGGGUGCGAGCGUUAAUCGGAAUUACUGGGCGUAAAGCGUGCGUAGACGGUUAUGUAAGUCGGAUGUGAAAGCCCCGGGCUCAACCUGGGAAUUGCAUUCGAGGCUGCAUAGCUAGGAUGCGGAAGAGGGAAGCGGAAUUUCCGGUGUAGCGGUGAAAUGCGUAGAUAUCGGAAGGAACACCAGUGGCGAAAGCGGCUUCCUGGUCCAGCAUCGACGUUCAGGCACGAAAGCGUGGGGAGCAAACAGGAUUAGAUACCCUGGUAGUCCACGCCAUAAACGAUGAGAACUAGACGUUGAGAGGGUAAGCCUCCCAGUGUCGUAGCUAACGCGCUAAGUUCUCCGCCUGGGGAGUACGGCCGCAAGGUUG
rnacentral:rRNA from 1 species